AAAGGAAAAAUUAAUAAAAAAUAAAUAAAAAAAAAAUUUAUAUAAUUAUUUAAUGGGGGUUAAAGUAUUUAUAUAGAAAAAAUUUUUUAAUUUAUAAAGAAUUAGUAUUGUAAAAGAAGUUUGAAAAAUUUUAAAUAGAAAAUUAAUGAAAAGUAAAUUUUAUUUAUUGUAUCUUGUGUAUCAGAGUUUAUUAAAAAAAUAAUUUAAGGUAAUUUAUUUCGAAUUUAAAGGAGAUAAUUAAUUAAUAAAGUUAAUGUGGCAUAAUUAUUUUUAAUAAUUAAUUGGAAAUGAUAAGUUAAUCGUUUUUAAAGAUAUCUAGUUUUUUUAGAAAAAAAUUCAAUUUUAAAUUGAAUUUUUAUAAAGAUUAAUUAUUUAAUUAAUAUAAAAUUCAAUUAAAUAUUUUAGGGGAUAAGCUUUAAAUUAAAAAUUUAUAAUUCAAUUAAAUUUAAUUGAAGUUUUUAAAAUUUAUAUUUUUUAUAAAUUAUAAUUUAUUAUAAAUAAUUUCAUUUAAUUAAAAUUUUUUUUUAUAUUUAAAUUUUUAUAAAAAUAUAAUUUUUAAUUUGUAAAAAUUAGAAUUUAUGAUAAAAUUAGUAUAUAAUAAUUAAAUAAGAAAAAAUUAAUUUUAAUUAAUAAAAAGGAAUUCGGCAAAUGAAUAUAUUCACUUGUUUAUCAAAAACAUGUCUUUUUGAAAAUAAUUUAAAGUCUAAUCUGCCCACUGAAUGAUUUUAAAGGGCUGCAGUAUACUGACUGUACAAAGGUAGCAUAAUCAGUAGUCUUUUAAUUGAAGACUUGUAUGAAUGAUUUGAUGAGAUAUAAACUGUCUCUUUAUUAUAUAUAGAAUUUAAUUUUUUAGUUAAAAAGCUAAAAUUUUUAUAAAAGACGAGAAGACCCUAUAGAUCUUUAUAUUUUAUUUUUUAAAUUUACUAUAUAAAAUUUUUGAUUUUUAUAUAAUAAAAUAUUUUAUUGGGGUGAUAGAAAAAUUAAAUAAACUUUUUUUAAAAAUUAAACAUUAAUUUAUGAAUAUUUGAUCCAUAAUUUAUGAUUAUAAGAAUAAGUUACCUUAGGGAUAACAGCGUAAUUUUUUUUUUUAGUUCAAAUAAAAAAAAGAGUUUGCGACCUCGAUGUUGGAUUAAGAUAAAAUUUAAAUGCAAAAGUUUAAAAUUUUGAUCUGUUCGAUCAUUAAAAUCUUACAUGAUCUGAGUUCAAACCGGCGUAAGCCAGGUUGGUUUCUAUCUUUAUAUAAAAUAAAUAGUUUAGUACGAAAGGAUCAAUUAUUUUAAAUAAUUUAAUAAAAAGAAUAUUAUUAAUAAAAAUUU
rnacentral:rRNA from 1 species